GCCAGUUUGUAUAAACCUUUUUAAUUUAUUAUUUUUUUAUAAAGCAUAAUGCUUAACGAAAAUAUUAAUUUUAAACAAAGAAUACGAUUUCUAUAUAUCCAAUAUUGUCAAUUAUACUUCGAAAACUUGCGGUGACUAGGUACAACUGGGCGUUUUCGAUUAUGUUCUUAUUUUCUAGAACAUUCAAAUGGUUUUCGCUAAAUGUUUUAGCGGCUGAUAAAUUUGCACAAAGGGAUCGAUUUAAACCAUUUUUUGUUACAAUAACAGCACAAGUUCCUGAGGACAAAUUGAUGGGUAUUCAAUAUCAUCAAAAGGUAUGCGAUAUAUUAUAACCGUUCAUACCCCAUGUUUAUAGGUUUUUUUAAUUGCAUGUAAUUUUGAAUAUUAAUAUUAUUUAUAAAAUCUUAAGUUUGUUCUUAUGAAUUUUUAAGUGUAAAUUAUAAAAAAAGCAUAGGCUUUAUCUAAUGGAAAUAUUUCUGAAUAUUUUUUUUAAAUUUAUUCACUACGUUGUUAAUAAUUAUAGGUAAUUUGUCAUUUAACAAAAAUAUUUAGUAAAAUUUUGUCGAAAGUUCAAUCUUUAAAAAAUAAUAAAAUAGGAAUCUAUAUAAGAUUAAAUGCAAUUUAAAAUCAAAACCACAUAAGAUAUAACAUAAUGAACGCUCCAAUAAAAACUAUAAAAAUAGACCUAAUAAAUUAUUAAAACAAUAUAAUAUUUUUUUUUUUUGAAAACGUGUUUUGGUAAAAUCCAAUGCAAUUGCUUUUGUUUAUACUAAUAAAAUUCAUAAAUAAACUUAAGAUUAUAUAAAUAAUAAUAAUAUUAAAAAUUUAUGUAGGUAAAACUAAUAAACAUUUAAAAAUAAGAUAUAAAAAACACUAUUUUAAAAUAAAGUUAAAAAGGCUGCCCCCCUCAAUUCAAAUAUGGCUAAACAUAUUCUAGAAAACAACCAUAAUAUAAGUUUUGAUAUCAAUACUACAGACUUGGAAAUUUUAAAAAGCCAAAAUAACAUUUAUAUUAAUUGAGUUUUAGAAGAAUUACACAUACACAAUGAAAUAAUCACAAAUAAUAUAUUAUAUGUACAAACCCAUUUUAAAAAUAAUAUCUAAUAUCAAUACAUUUUAAAUAUACUUUUAUUAUUUUGAAUUCAGGUGGUCGCUUUUUGUCGAAUAUGAUAAGUGGCUAUAAAGUUGGCCGUUCUAAUAUUGUAAAGUAAGUAAAUAAAAUUAAGAACGAUUUUCUAAAAGUAAUAAUAAUCUUUAUUAAUAAAAAAAAGUUCAGAUUACACAUAUUUAAAUAUUAACUAUGAUAUCAUUAAUUCUUUAUUUGUCUUAGGCCUGGAGCAAUUGUCGGAUUUUGUAAUCCAUUGCUAUACAUGACUGCUGUUGGGAAUCAAUAUUUAC